CCCAACCCCAGCCCCAGCUCCCAGCUCCCCCAGCCCUGCUUCUAUCUAAAGCAAUUUGCAUUGGUUCAGUGCUAAAAAUAAGUUGGCCAUUGCUCAUCCAUUAGACUAGGUUACCCUAUCUGCCUCUAGCCUUGCUGGUCUUCAGUGCUGACUACCUGAGUCAUCAUUUUCAAUUAAUGUACACAAUCCCGUUUGUCCACUGUCCCAUGAUAGAACAGACUCUGUGCACCAUUUGUGUUAAUGUUAGGAAAUGUUAAUUAAUCCAGAGUUUCAUAUCAGACAGUUAUUGUCCAUAAUUCUAGUUACUCAACAUCUCAAUCUACUGCCCUUAAGGAAGGAGAAAACAUUCCUUUGUCAUUGCUGCAGUAAUCACAGUCACAAUUUUCUGGGCAGUGCUCAUAUACUGUGCUGACCACCUAAACUCUUUGUACUGAGUGGAAUUCUCAUUGUUGAUAAUUCUGCCCAUUGGAUUAGAUCCCAGUCCAAAACCCUUUUACAUUCAGCAGGGGGCACAGGAAACCCAAGCCCUGUUCAACAGUAAACGGGCUCAGUCCCACUUGUCAUAACCUUGUCCAUUAAACAAAGGCACCCUACUUUUUUGCCUAGCUUCUGGGGAGUCCUGCUGUUCUUGGACAAUUAAAGUACCAAAUUGUUAUUGUACAUUGUCUUGCUCAUUAAUCAACAACCCUCCAUCCUCUUUGAAUUGCUACUAGGCAGUACUGGCUACCUGAGACCAUGUUCCUUGAAUUAUUGAGUAGAACCCUAGUUGUCCGUAUCCCUGUUCCUUAUACAAGUAACAGCUUCUUUGCACUAUAGUAGAGGUGCUCACCCUUAAAGCUCUUUACUUUGGAAUAUUAAUGGAUACAAUCAUUAUUGUUCAUGGACCUGCCUAACAGAUAAGACCCACCCAUGCUCUCUCCAUUGCUCCUGGGUAGUACUUAGCACCUUGCAUAGUAUGUAAAAUCCUCAUUGCUCAUGGUCCCACCCAUUAGUCUAGGAUAUUCCUUACCUCUGUGCCAUUACUUCGGAGGUGUUCUGAUUACCCAAGUUCCCUUCUCUUAAAGUUGAUGUGCAUAAUUGCAUAUAUUCAUGGUCCUGUGUAUUAAAAAAAUGGGAUCUCACUCCAUCCCACCCUCUGUGGGAUACUGCUAACAAGUGCAUAAUAUUAAAAAACUCAGCUCUUGGACAGUUAAUUUGCACAGUUGCAGUUGUCUAAAGUCUUGUCUAUUUGAAAGAGCCACUGUAUCCCAUUUGUAUGCUAUAAUGUGGGCCGAUCACUCAAGGACCCUUCUCUUUAAUUGAAAAUGUCCAUAAUUGCAUUUGUCCAUGUCCUGGGAAGAAGCCAUACCCACUCCCUUUGUACUCCAUCCAGGGGCCUUUACUACUCAAGAACUCUGCACUAGGACAGUUUAUACACAUAAUCCUAAUUGAUUAAAACUGAGCCUUUUGUAUCAGGAACCCUGCACAAUCUUUACUUUACAUCUGAAAGGUGCAAAUCACCUAAGGACCUUGUCCUGAAAUUGUUCAUGUGCAAAAUUGAUAUCCCCAAUAUCUCUUGUUAAAACAGGGUCCCAUCCCCACCUAACUCCUUUUGCAUUACUGUAGAGGGCACUUAGGACAGUUAAUGUGCUCCUUUACAGCUGUGGUCCCUUCUGUUAGUCUAGGAUCCCAUCCCCUUCACUUUGCAUUAUUGCAGAGGGUACCUGAGACUAUUAAUGUACUUAAUUGCAGGUAAAGUCCUUUCCCUUAGUCCAAGAUCCCAUCCACUACUACUCACUUUGCAUUACCAUAGGAUACAAGGGACUGCUAAUGGGCUUAAAUGCAGUUACAGUCCCUUAUGUUAGCCUAGGAUCUCAUCCCCACCUAACUCCAUUUGCAUUACUGCAGAGGGUACUUGGGACUGUUAAUGUGCUUCAUUUGCAGUUACAGUCCCUUUUGUUAGUCUAGGAUCCCAUCCUCACCUACUCCCUUUGCAUUACCACAGAGAGUACAUGGGACUGUUAAGUGCUUAAAUUCAGAUAUUGUCCUUUAUGGUAGUGCAUGGUUUCAUCUUUUUCCAACUCCCUUGGCAUUACCAGAGAGUACUGGGGACUGUUAGAGCUUAAGUGCAGAUACUAUCCCUCAUGUUAGUGUAGGGUUCCACCCACUCCAACUCCCUUUGCGUUACAGCAGAGGCUAUGUAGGACCUUUAAGGUGCUUAAUUGCAGAUGUGGUCCAUUCCGUUUGUCUAGGAUCCCAUCUCCUCCUAUCCCUUUGCAUUACUGCAGAGGACACUUGGGACUGUUAAUGGGCUGAUUGCAUCUGUGGUCCUUUCUGUUAGUCUAGGAUCCCGUGCCCUCCAACUCCCUUCGUAUUACACAGGAAAUACUUGGGACUGUUAAUGGGCUUAAUUGCACCUACAGUCCCUUUUGUUAGUAGGAUCCUAUGCCUUCCAACACCCUUUGCAUACAGAGAGGAUAUCUGGGACUGUUAAUGAGCAUAAUAGCAGCUACAGUCUGUUCUGUUCAUCUAGGAUCCCGUGGCCUCCAACUCCUUUUUGCCUUACAGGGUGGUACUUGGGACAGAAAGACAGAAACAUGCUUAAUUGCGUCUGUAGUCCCCUCUGUUAGUCUAGGAUUCCAUGCCCUCUAACUCCCUUUGCAUUACACAUGGGGUUCUUGGGACUGUUAAUAUGCUCAACUGCAGCUACAGUCCCUUCUGUUUGUCUAGGAUCUCAUGCUCUCUAACUCCUCUUGUAUUACUAGGUGGUAUUUGGGACAGAAAGGUGCUUAAUUGCAUCUGUGGUCCCUUCAGUAGUCUGGGAUCCCAUGCCCUCCAACUCCCUUUAUGUUACGGGGUACUUGGGACUGUAAAUGUGCUUAAUUGCACCCACACCCUUGUGUUAGACUAGGAUCUUAUGUCCUUCAAUUGCCUUUACAUAUAGCAGGAGGUACCUGGGACUCUUAAUGUGCUCAAUUGCAGCUAUAGUCUCGCUGUUAGUCUAACAACCCAUGUCCUCCAACUCCCUUGCCUUACUGGCUGGUAUUUGACACAAAGGUGCUUCACUGCAUCUGUGGUCCCUUUUGUUUGUUUGGAAUCCCAUGCCUUCCAAACCCUUGGCAUUACAUGCGGGGUACUUGGGACUGUUAGUAUGCUCAAUUGCACCUGCAGUCCUUUCUGUUUGUCUAGGAUCCCAUGCCCAGCAAAUCCUUUUGCAUUACGCAGGGCGUCCUUGGCAGUCUUAAAGUGCUCAGCUGUAGCUACAGCCCCUUCUGUGCUUCUAGUAUCUGAUGUCCUCCAACUCCCUUUGUAUUACACAGGGGACAUUUGGGACAGAAAGGUGCUUGCUUAAUUGCCUCUGUAGUCCCUUCUGUUAAUCUGGAAUCCCAUCCGCUCCAACUCCCUUUGCAUUACACAAAGGAAUACUAGGGACUCAUUCCCAAAUACCCUGUGGUGCCCUUCAACUCCCUUUGCAUUACACAAGAGGUACUUGGGACUGCAAAUGUGCUUAACUGCAGCUACAACCUUUUGUUAGUCUUGGAUCCCAUGCCCUCCCACUCCUUUUGCAUUACACAGAGGAUACUUAGGACUGUUAAAUUGCUCAAUUGUAGCUACAGUCCCUUCUGUGCUUCUAGUUUCUGAUGCCCUCCAACUCCCUUUGCGUUACACGGGAUAUUUGGGACAGAAAGGUGCUUAAUUGCAUCUGUGGUCCCUUCUGCUAGUCUGGGAUCUCAUUCUCUCCCACUCCCUUAGCAUUACACACGGGAGACUCGGGACUGUUAAUGUGCUGUACUGCAGUUACAGUCCCUUUUAUUGGUCUAGAAUCCUGUGCCCUCCAACUCCUUUGGCAUUACUGGUUGGUUUUUGUGACAGAAGGUGCUUAAUUGCAUCUGUGGUCCCUUCUGUUAGUAUGAGAGCCCAUGCCCUUGAACUCCCUUUACAUACACCUGAGGUACUUGGGAAUGUAAAUAGCCUAAUUGCAGCUACAGUCUUUGCUAUUUGUCUAGGAUCCCAUGCCCUCCAACUCCUUUUGCAUUACGUAAGGGAUACUUGGGGUUGUUAAAGUGCUCAACUGUAGCUACAGUCCUUUCUGUGCUUCUAGUGUCCAAUGCCCUCCACUCCCUUUGCAUUACAUAGGGGAUAUUUGGGACAGAAAGGUGCUUAAUUGCAUCUGUGGUCCCUUCUAUUAGUCUGGGAUCCCAUGCCCUCCACCUCCCUUGACAUUACACGCGAGGUACUUGGGACUGUAAAUGUGCUAAAAUGCAGCCACUCCCUUCUGUUAGUCUAGGAUCUCUCAUCCUCCAACUCCCUUUGCAUACAGCAGAGGGUACCUGGGACUCUUAAUGUGCUCAAUGGCAGCUACAGUCCCUUCUGUUAGUCUCAGAUCCCAUGCCCUCCAACUCCCUUUGCAUUACACACGGUGUUCUAGGGACUGUUAAUGGCCUAAUUACAGCUGCAGUCCCUUCUACUUGUCUAGGAUCCCAUACCCUCUAACUCCUUUUGUGUUACACAUGGGGUACUUGGGACUGUUAGUAGACUCAAUUGCACCUACAAUCCUUUCUGUUUGUGUAGGAUCCCAUGCCCUCCAACUACUUUUGCAUUAGACAGGGGGUACUUGGGACUCUUAAAGUGCGCAAUUGUAGCCUCAGUCCCUUCUGUGUUUCUAGUGUCUGAUGCCCUCCAGCUCCCUUUGCAUUACACAGGGGAUAUUUGGGACAUAAAGGUGUUUAACUGCAUCUGUGGUCCCUAUGUUAUUCUGGGGUCUUAUGCUUUCCAAUUCCCUUAGCGUUACACACAGGAUACUUGGGACUCUUAAUGUGCUCCAUUGCAGCUGCAGUCCCUUCUAUUAGUCUAGAAUCCUGUGCCCUCCAACAUUUUUGCAUUACCAGGUGGUAUUUGGGACAGAAAGGUGCUUAAUUGCAUCUGUGGUCCCUUCAGUAGUCUGGGAUCCCAUGCCCUCCAACUCCCUUUACAUUACACAAGAGGUACUUGGGACUGUAAAUGUGCUAAUUGCAGCUACACCCAUCCUUUGGUCUAGGAUCUCUCAUCCUCCAACUCCCUUUGCAUACAGCAGAGGGUACCUGGGACUCUUAAUGUGCUCAAUGGCAGCUACAGUUUCUUCUGUUAGUCUCAGAUCCCAUGCCCUCCAACUCCCUUUGCAUUACACACGGUGUACUAGGGACUGUUAAUUGUCUUAAUGGCAGCCACAGUCCCUUCUGUUUGUGUAGGAUCCCAUGCCCUCCAACUCCCUUUGUAUUACGCAAGGGAUAUUUGGGACAGAAAGGUGCUUGCUUAAUUGCAUCUGUGGUCCCAAAACAACAUAUUGGCCUGAGAUCCCAUGCCCUCCAACUCCCCUUGCAUUCCGCAUAGGUUAUUUGGGACUGUUAAUGGUCUUAAUGGCAGCCACAGUCCCUUCUGUUAGUCUGGGAUCCCAUGCCUCCAACUCCCUUUGCAUUUCCCUGUGGUAUUUGGGUCACAAAGGUGCUUAACUGCCUCUAGGAUCCCCUUCUGUUAUUCUGGGGUCCCAUGCCCUCCAACUUACUUUACAUUACACAAGAGGUACUUGGGACUGUAAAUGUGCUAAUUGCAGCCACACCCAUCCUCUGGUCUAGGAUCUCUGGUCCUCCAACUCCCUUUGCAUACAGCAGAGGGUACCUGGGACUCCUAAUGUGCUCAAUGGCAGCUACAGUCCCUUCUGUUAGUCUCAGAUCCCAUGCCCUCCAACUCCCUUUGCAUUACACACCGUGUACUAGGGACUGUUAAUUGUCUUAAUGGCAGCCACAGUCCCUUCUGUUUGUGUAGGAUCCCAUGCCCUCCAACUCCUUUUGCAUUACGCAGGGGGUCCUUGGGAGUCUUAAAGUGCUCCAUUGUAGCUGCAGUCCCUUCUGUGCUUCUAGUGUCCGAUGCCCUCCAACUCCCUUUGUAUUACACAGGGGAUAUUUGGGACAGAAAGGUGCUUGCUUAAUUGCAUCUGUGGUCCCAACAACAUAUUGGCCUGGGAUCCCAUGCCCUCCAACUCCACUUGCAUUCCGCAUAGGUUAUUUGGGACUGUUAAUGGUCUUAAUGGCAGCCACAGUCCCUUCUGUUAGUCUAGGAUCCCAUGCCCUCCAACUCCCUUUGCAUUUCCCUGUGGUAUUUGGGUCACAAAGGUGCUUAACUGCCUCUGGGAUGCCUUUCUGCUAGUCUGGGGUCCCAUGCCCUCCAAAUUACUUUACAUUACACAAGAGGUACUUGGGACUAUAAAUGUGCUAAUUGCAGCCACACCCAUCCUCUGGUCUAGGAUCUCUGGUCCUCCAACUCCCUUUGCAUACAGCAGAGGGUACCUGGGACUCCUAAUGUGCUCAAUGGCAGCUACAGUCCCUUCUGUUAGUCUCAGAUCCCAUGCCCUCCAACUCCCUUUGCAUUACACACCGUGUACUAGGGACUGUUAAUUGUCUUAAUGGCAGCCACAGUCCCUUCUGUUUGUGUAGGAUCCCAUGCCCUCCAACUCCUUUUGCAUUACGCAGGGGGUCCUUGGGAGUCUUAAAGUGCUCCAUUGUAGCUGCAGUCCCUUCUGUGCUUCUAGUGUCCGAUGCCCUCCAACUCCCUUUGUAUUACACAGGGGAUAUUUGGGACAGAAAGGUGCUUGCUUAAUUGCAUCGGUGGUCCCAAAACAACAUAUUAGCCUGGGAUCCCAUGCCCUCCAACUCCCUUUACACUACACAUGAGGUACUUGGGAGUGUUAACAUGGUUAAUUGCAGCCAGCAUCCCUUCUGUGUGUGUAGUUUCCUAUGCUCUCCUAUGCUGUUUGGAUUACAGCAGCAUGUACUUGGUACUGUUAAACUGCUUAAUUGGAGGUGUAGUCACUAUCGUGGGUUUAGGAUUCCCAUGACCUUCAGUCACUUUACAUUACCUGGGCAGUUUCUUGGAUUGUUAUGGUGCUUAAGUGCAGCUGCAGAUCCCUUCUGUUACUCGAGGAUUCUAUCCACUCCCUCUACAUUACUUGGGAGGGUUUUGGGUCUUUUAAAUAGCUCAAUUGCAGCUCCGGUCCCUUCUGCUAGUCUGGGAUCCCAUGCCCUCCAAUUCCCUUCUCAUUAUCACAGAUGGUACUUGGGCCUAUUAAUGGGCUGAAUUGCAGCUGUGGUACUUUCUGUUGGUCUGGGAUCCUACACGCUCCAACUCCCUUUGUGUUAUAGGUGAGCGUGCCUGGGAUUAUUAACCGGCUAGACUGCAGCUGUUGUCUCUUUUGUUUAGGACCUCACACCCUUCUACUCAGCAUUACAGCAGAGGGUAUUGGAACUGUUAAAUGUUCAAUUGUAGCUGUGGUCCCUUCUGUUUUCUAGGAUCCCAUGUCCUCCACCUACCUUUACAUCGCCUGGGAAUAUAUUUGGGAUGGUUAAAGUGCUCAAUUGCAGCUGUGGUCCCUUCUGCGUAUCUAGUUUCCCAUGACCUCCUACUGCCUUUACAUUACCUGGGAGUGCAUCUGGGACUGCUAAAGUGCUUAGCUGCAGUAUAGUCCCUUCUGUUAGUCUAGUUUCCCAUCCCCUCCCAUUCUUUGCAUUACAGCAGAGGAUACUUGGGACUGUUAAAGUGCUUAAUUGCAGCUGUGGUCCCUUUUGUACUCCAGGAUCCCAUGACCUCCCACUUCCUUUAUGUUACUAGGUGGGCAUUUGGGACUGUUAUGGUGCUUAAUUGCAUUUGUAGUCCUCCUGUUAGUCUAGGAUCCCAUUCCUUCCUACGCACUUUGCAUUACCACAGAGGGUACUUGGGACUGUUAAGGUUCAUCCCAUCCUCUCACUCCCUGUUAGUAUUACAGCAGAGGGUGCUGAACACCAAAGCUCUUCUUUUGCCCUGUUAAUGUGCAUAAUUGCAUUUGUCCCUCUUCCUCUGCAGUAAAGACCUCACUCAUUUCCCUUGUAUUCAGCAGCGGAUGCCCUUUCCUCAAGACCUUUGUACUAGGAUAAAGUGAACCAUGGUAAUUGAUUGACCAAAACUAUGCCUUUCAUUUAAGACCUCUGUACUCUCUGUUUUACAAGAAGGUGUACCUACUACCUCAGUUACUUUUUUGGGGGACUAUUUAUGUGCAAAAUUCCAAUGUUCAUGGGCCCCCCUGUUAAACUAAUAUCCCACCCUAUUACAUUAUAGCAGGGGAUGCUAGGGACCCAAAGUCCUUCUCUUGGGACUCUUAAUGUGCCUGUGCCCUCCUGAUAAGCUAAUAUCCUGACUUGUUAGUAUUAUAGCAGGAGGUACUGACCACCUGAAGUCUUUCUUUUGGACAGUCAACGUGCAGAGUUGCACUAGGAUCCCAUCCCCAUCACACCUCCUUUGCAUCAGGGGUGCUGACCAAUCGUGGCUGCUUCUCCUGUACAGUUAAUUGUGCAUAAUUACUGUAAUCCCUGCUCCCUUAUGUAAGAAUAGGAUCCCAUUUCCUUGCCCCAUUUACAUUACUGCAGGGUCUUCUGACUAGCCAAGAUUCAUUUUCUUGGACUGUUACUAUGCAUACUUAUAUUUGCUCCUAUGCUUGUAUACCAGGUAAGGACUCUCCCCAUUCUAUUUAUAUUCUAGCAGGAGCUGCCUACUACUAAAGACCUUACACCCUGCUGCAGUUAAUGUGCACAAUCUUAGUUGUCUUGUACACACUCUCAGUUGUCUACAACUGUGCCUUUUAGAUCAGGACACCUGCACUUAUUGAAGAAGAGGUUACUGACUACCUUAAAGCCCUUCUCUUGGGAACGUGGAUAUGUGUAAUUACAGUCAUCCAUGGUCCUUUGAGUUAACUUGGGUCCUUGAGUUUUCACACCCUCUUUGCUUUACUGCAUGAGAUACUGUGCACUUAAGGCCCCUUUCUCAAACUGUGAAUGUGCAUAAUGAUAUUUACAUUAGGAUCCUUCCCCUUCACACUCCCUUUGAAGUACUGCAGGAAUUCUGACCUAAGGUCCCAUUUCUUGGCCUGUUAAUAUUCACUAUUAUAUUUGUCUGGGUUCCUGUGCACUAGACAAGGGCAGCUCCUCUCCCCACUUUCCUUUUUUUCCAGCAAGGAGUGCCCUCUCCACAACACUAUUACAUUUGGACAAUCAAGGUGCACAAUUUUAAUUGACCACACCUAUGGACCUUAGAUAUUAAUAUGCAUAAUUGCACAUGGCUCAUCCCAUUUGAAUAAGAUCUUACUUUCUCAGACCCCUUUUACAGUACAGCAGAGGUACUGACCCCUAAGGCCUUUUUUCUUGGCCUGUUAACAUAUGUGUGAUUAUGUUUGUCUGGAUUCCUGUACACUAGACAAGCCUCCCCCCACCCCCCAUCCCUGUCUUCCUUUCCCUUUCAGCAGGGGGUGCCUCCUCCAUUAUACCAUAACUUUUGGACAGUCAAGGUGCACAAUUGUAAUUGACCACAACCGUGCACCUUAGACAUUAAUGUGCAUGACUGCACAUGGCUCAGCUCAUUUGAAUAAGAGCCUACGCUUUCAGACCUUUUGUUGUACAGCAGAGGUACUGAUCACUAAGGCCUCUUUUAAUGGCUUGUUAUUGUGCAUAAUUGGAUUAAUACAUGUUCCUGUACAGUAGAUAAGGACACCCCUCUCCCCAUUCCCUUUGCCUUUUAGCAGGGCCUGAGCACUACUUUAAGAUCCUUAUAUUAACAUGGUACAUGGUUUUAAUUUACCACACCGUGUCUGUUGGACGUUAAUGUACAUAAUUGCAACUUAGUUCAUCCUACUCUGUUGCCCUUCAUUUGCAGUAUACCAGGGUCAUUGACCCCUCAAUCCCCUUUCUCGAUCUGUUAAUGUGCAUAAUUGCAUUUGUCUGGGUUCUUGUGCACUAGACAAGGACAUGUCCCCCCACCUCCUAUGCCUUCCAGCAGGUGGUGCCCACUGCUAAGAUCUUUACAUUUGAAUAGUUACUGUGCAGAAUUGUAGUUUUCCACAACCCUAUCACUUCCAGGACUAUUGUACCUCGUUUGUUCUACUGCAGGGGAUACUGUUUUUCCCCAAGGCUCCUUCUAGUGGACAAUUAAUAUACAUAAUUGAAAUUGUCUAUUGUCUUCAGGAGACUAAGGUCAAACCCCUUCAGCUUCCCUUUGUAGUACAGCUGAUUGUGCUGAGUAACCAAGGCCCUCUUCUUUUGGACUGAUAAUACGUGCAAUUGCAUUUUUUCCUAUUCUUUGCACUAGAUACGGACCCCACCUACUUCCUUAGCAUUUUCAGCAGGCAGUGCCCACUACUUAAGACUCUUUCACUUGGAAAGUUCAUGUGCACAAGUGCAAUUUUCCAAGCAUGUCUUAUUCCAGACCCCCGGACCCUCUUUGCUUUAGAGCAAGGAGAUGCUAUUCACUUAAUGCCCUUUCUUUUGGACUUUAAUGUGCAUAAUUGCAAUUGUCCAUCUCUUCUGCUGGACUAAGAUUGCAUCCCUCCAUACCCCCUUUGCAGCAGGGGCAUGUUAACCAUGAAUAAGUUCUUCUCUUGAGAUUAUUAGUGUUCAUAAUUGUACUUGUCUGUGGACCUGUGCAGUAGAAAGGAUGCUCUAUGUCCCUAGCGUUGCCUUUAGAUUGCUGCUGAGGAGUGCUAACUAUCAUGACCUCAGCUCUUGGACACUUAAUAUGCGCCCAAUAACAAUUAUCAAAAGUACUGGUCAUUAGAUAUGACCCCUGAAUCCUCUUUGUAUACAUCAGGGGUACUGACUAAGGCCCAUUUCUUGGACUGUUAAUGUGAAUUUUUGCAAUUAUCUGUGCCUCCUUCCAUUAGAGUAGGAAAUCAUUCCCUUACACCCCCUUUGCAUUAAUGCAGGGGCUGCUGACCACACAAAACUUCUGGGACUGUUAAUGGGCACAAUGGCAAUUAGCAAUGGAAUUUCCCUUCCUGGCCUUGUUAGACAAGCACUCCCAGCUCCAAUUUCCUGUGGCAUAAUAGGGUAUAAACAUUGCAGUGCGCCAUGAACCAGUCCGUCAAACAGCGACCCAUACUCCCACUCCUUUUGCAUUGCUCUAGUGUAUAAAAUUCCAAAUAGUCAUGGUCUUAACUGUUAUCUUCCCUUCUCCCACCCCUUGCCUGCCCUUGGACCCUCCUUAUGGACUAUUAAUGCUCACAAUUUUAGCUGUCCAUGUAUCCAGCCAUUAAAUAAGACCUUACUCCCUCACCCUGUCCCCCCUUCACCCCUUGCCCCUUUUUACAUUGUUGCUGGGGAAUGUUACCUGGGCUAGGCCCUUUCUCUUGGACUUAAAACGUUAACAAUCCCAGAUGUCAUUGGUUUACCCACUUUGUACUGCUGUAAUGCCUCAGUUACACUUUCCUUGAUCCUGCCCAUAAGACAUGGACCCCUCUACUUCCUUCUUUGCAUUGCUUAUGAGUAGUGCUGACUACCCAAAGCCCCUUCGGUGUUAUUAAUUAACACAGUACUGAUUGUCCCAUUUUUCAGUCCAUCAGCCCAAGAUCUCCCUAUGACUUUGAUGUUGUAUGUUUGUGCAGUGUUGACUACCAAAAGCAGGCCUGAACUAGGUGGAUGGGCCUUCACUCCUUUUCCUGCAUUUGUUAAUGAUCCCAAUUCCAAUUAUUGUCACAUUCUGGGGAGAGGAACCUUCCCUGCCCACCUCUGUUACUGACUUACUGGGCAAAAGGCUCAAGGCAAGUCAGGCCCAAGGAGUUGGAUUGCCGCCCUUUAGUUUGGAUUUUCAAUAUACAUAAGUAUUACUUGAAAAUUUUCUCCCCAGGAAGGAAGGUUAGCACUCUCUGCAUUCUUCCUUCCAGAGCAGAUUGCGCAGCUAAGAAUCUCUCCUCUUGUAUAUUGCUAUUGUACAGUGCCAAUUGCCAGGAUACAACCAAAAAGUUGCUGUUAAUUUUUUAUUUUUUAAGAAAGACAUCUGGUUUACAAGGUGGAAUUGAUAACCUGGUCAUUAAAUUUUUGAAGUCUAAAAACCCAUUUAUACUAUGUACCUGAUGACCAGUGUCUCUCAUUUUAGUAAGGGUGGUGGGUGUGUGGAUGGACCACUGUGACUCUUGCUAUUUUGGUGUUACCAAAGGAGUUCUAGAGUGGAACUCUUAAGACCAGUAUCUUUGGGCUCUACCACCAUUUUAAAACCAUUCCUUGUUUGGGCUUUACCACCAUUCACUCUUAGAAAAACUACCUAAACGUUCUAGUCCUUAAAUUUCUUCAUGUGGAGCACCAACCAUCCCCUACUUAUUUCAAGAAGAUUGCCGUAAAAAGAUGAAAUGAGAGAACGUAUGCUGAGGUGCUUUUGAAAACCACAGGUCACGUUAUAAUCUAUUAUAUAAAAUGCACCUUGCUUAAUUCUGCUCAUUUAAAGUAGCCUGAAGCACCACACUGAAGUGAGGACUUAGAAAUGAUGGGACUAGUUUCCCUGUUUUAUAUUAAAAGAAAAAUAAGCCAAUAUCUAAUUAUUCUUCUGGAUACAAAUUUCAACAGUCAGAUAGCUGCCUGGUAAAAAUGAAUACUAUCCCAGCCUCUAGUGUACAGGGUGUUUGGUGGCAGACAAGUAUUUAAUAUGGAACUGCUGAAGCAAAUAACUAGUCAUCACAACAGCAGUUCUUUGUAAUCACUGAAAAAGAAUACUAUUCCUCCAUCGGCCCAGCUCAGGGUACAGUUGGCACUUCUAGCUCCUUGGACAGCUGUAAGAAGAGUCUCUGGCUCUUUAGAAUUCUGGAUGAAUUCUCAGCCGGUUCUGUACCCCCACUUGAGGAAGGAUGGACCAAUUUUAGGUGGACUGAAGCCUGCGCUAGACAGCAUCCAAAGGACAUUCAAGCAUGUGAGACCUGAGGACUGCAGGCAGCUCUAAGAAGCUCCACAUUCAUCAGAUCUUUCCUUCGGAGAAUCUGGAUAAGCUCCAACUGGUCUUAAGAGGAUGGCUUGCAGGCCACCUGGAGAAAAAGGUCUUCCUCAGAAGAAUAGGCUUGUUGCUUUAUGGUGUUAGUGACCCAUUCCCUUUGACGAUCCCUAGGUGGAGAUGGGGCAUGAGGAUCCUCCAGGGGAAAGGCUCACUACCACUGGGCAACAAGCCUAGGCCAGGAGGUUCUAUCAAGAUUCUUUCCUGGGCCCAGGUAGGAAGAUGAAGUCUCAAGACAGCUACCACACAUCAGAGGAGAACAUGGACAACAACUGCCACAUCUGUGACAUUAAUCGUGGGCAGAUCAUCAUUCUGGACCCUCUGGUCCACAAAGUCUGCCUUGAGGCCCUGUUGGAGAACUUUGCCAGUCAUUUACAUACUUCAAGAUGCCUUGGGACGUCUGCGGGAUAAAACACAAAACAAGUUGUUUAAGAAGAUAAAUAAGAAUUGUAUCUUUGUAUGCUGUGCUUGCUGAUUGACGGAAGCUUCACAGCUACAAAUGGGAACCUGACCAGAAAUGGUACAAAGUUAUCUACCGUCAGGGAGGAUCUAAAGAACCAGGACCCUGGAUACUCUAGCUCCUGAUUGUUCCCUUCGUAUCUGCCGCAUCAUCCUUCCCAAAAGCAGUGCAUAGAGUGAGAAAUUUGAAUACACCAAAAGAUCAACGUGCCUGACACUCUAGCAUUUUAACAUAGCAGAAUGAAUGUGUAUUUCUUUGCUUGUCUGUUUCUUCCUUGAACGUCUUUGGUCUUUCUUCUCUAUCUAAAGUGUGUCUUACCCAUUUCUAUAAUUCUCUUGUUAGUUUCUUCUCUGUGUAUCUUUGUCUCAUUGUUUCUUUUGUUGCUGAGUGGUCUGUGCCUUGUCUUAGAUCUCUCUCUCUCUCUUUUCAUUUUGUUACUGAUUCCCUGUGCUCUCCUAGAUCUGGCUCUUCUUUCACUGUUCUUCCCUUUGUGUCUCUGAGUCACAUGCUGUGUGCUUUUUGCUCAUUACUUGUUAUGUCUACCUCUCUUCUUUUUCUCCUUGUGAAUUCUGAUUGUUUGUCACUUUCUCCCUUUCUUGUUGGUUUGACAUUUCACUUUUUUCUGAUUCUGGCCUCCUUUCUGCUGUUUCUACUCCUUAUCUUGCAUUUCUCUUUUCUACAUAUCCUUUCUGCCUCUCUUGGGCCAUUUUCUCUCUUUUUUUCCUGCUUUGUGUGCUUCAGUAUCUCUGCUCUUUGUGAUUUUCCAUUUCAGCAUUCAUCUCUCUGUUCUUUUGUUUCUUCUCUGCUUUUUCCCUUCUACUCACCUUUGAAUAUUUCAGUCUCCUCAUGAGUCUGUGUCUCCCCUUCUUUGGUUUCAUACAAUCCUCUCGCCUUGCAUGUUUAUUGUGGCUGUGUAUGUGUGCGUGUUUGUGUGUGCUUGUGACAAAGGGGCUUCCUAACCCCUUCCCAGUAGGUGCAGAGUGUCAGCUAUCAAAAUAAGUACUGCAGCACUGUUCCUUCUGCCACGCUGCCCUGUGAGACGAUCCAAGACCAAUAGAAGGCCCAAGGGUCAAAACUGAAGGAAAGCUGAAGACCUAAGAUGGACAGAAAGGGAAGGCCCAUAAUGGGUAGAAGGCCCAACAUAGAAGACAGAUGGUUUGAGACUUGAGUCCUAAAGACUAAAAUGGAAAACCCAUGUCCCACGAUAGAUGGAAUCCUCAGGCCUGAGACCGUCAGAAGCCCUGAGAGCCAUGAUGUGCAGAAGGCGGCCCUUAUUGUAUAGAAGACCUGGCUGAGUUGGAUGGAAGGCUCAAGUCCUGAGUUAGACAGAAGGCUGAAGACCCAGAAUAUGAGCGCCUGAAGGCCUGAGACCUAAGAUACAAUGCCUAAGACCUGCGAUCAAAAGGCCUUAGCUUGACCACCUAAGACCCAAAGAUAGAAGGCCCCAGACAGACUAAAGACCCAAGACGCAAGCCUCUCCAGAGGGACAGAAGGCCCCAGAGAGACAUAUAUAUCUCAAGACUAAAUCAAGCAGGAAGCUGGAGGCCCAUGAUCUAAAACCCAGGAAGAAUAGAAGCCCCAAGACCAGAGGAAUUUCAAUGAUGAGAACCUGAGGCUCACCUCUUUUCUAUUGCUAUUCUUCCUAUUCUUGGACAUUUUCAGUUCUCUCUUUCCAGUUCUCAUAUCUCCAUUUAAGCCCACUUCUUUUGAGAUAUCAUUUUUGAUGUUCCUGUUGCCUUAAGGAAACAUAUCUUUAGAUCGGCAGUAUUAUGCCCGGGCCAAUCUUAAGCCAAUUUUUAGUCACAGUUUUGAGCCAUUUAUUAAUUUUUUGGUAUUUUUUUAAACUUCCAUUUCUCUUCAUCUCCACUCCACUUGAAAGAGACAUAUAGAUGACACUGUAUUUCAGUCUUCCCUUUUCCUCAGAAGCUCUAGGCUGACGAGAAGAGGAAAAUAUCAGGCUGUUGGGGGAAAAAACAGUGCCAGGCUAUCUAGAGAAAAUGUGAAGAGAUGCUCCAGGCUAAUGAGAAGAAUUAGACAAGAAAUACACAGAUGUCCCAGCCUGCUAAGAAGCACCAACCAGCAACACCUUACUUCUUUGAGCUUGGUUUCUGGCAUCCUAAGACUACCACUACUGAUAAAACAAGAAUAAGAGAACAUGCUAUCAUCAUCUGAUUUUUGUGGCAUAAAUGAAGUUGUGAACCAAUCUGCUUUUAAAGGAAAUGACUUCGUCUCUACCCUUCGACCUCAAAGGGAACCUAUGCCAAAAUGCUCUGAUAAAUGGAAGACACACUGACUUAUGAACUGAUGUGAAAUUCAGAAUCUCUGGGCCUUGACGUUUUGUAACGAUUGAAAAAUCUUGCUCAAGAUGAGUGAACACCCAAAAGCAACUGAGACAAAUUGGGGGGUGUGUUGUCUAAUGUCAAAUAAAAUGUACUGUUUUGAAAACUUUG